CGUCGUCGUUUUAUUCAUGCGUUCCGCCGGAGCUUCAGUUAUUGACUUUUCUUCCGAACGUUGCUAAUUCUUGCUGAGAAAACGCGGGAUUGAAGCUGGAGGUGGUUGUUUGUCUUCUAAUUUGGAAAUAAUUAGGUUAGGGAUUGGAGCUUUCCGAUUCUUGACCGUGUGACGGAUGUUUAAGAAGAUCAUAAAAGGAGGGCGGAAGCCGUCGAAGUCCGACGAUGGAUUUGGAAACCACGCCCACCGCCAACCGGGAAAUGUGGUGGUUAA
rnacentral:lncRNA from 1 species